rnacentral:rRNA from 1 species
CAGCCGCCGCGGGAAUACGGAGGGUGCAAGCGUUAAUCGGAAUUACUGGGCGUAAAGCGCACGCAGGCGGUCUGUCAAGUCGGAUGUGAAAUCCCCGGGCUCAACCUGGGAACUGCAUUCGAAACUGGCAGGCUAGAGUCUUGUAGAGGGGGGUAGAAUUCCAGGUGUAGCGGUGAAAUGCGUAGAGAUCUGGAGGAAUACCGGUGGCGAAGGCGGCCCCCUGGACAAAGACUGACGCUCAGGUGCGAAAGCGUGGGGAGCAAACAGGAUUAGAUACCCCGGUAGUCCCUGUCUCUUAUAA